rnacentral:lncRNA from 10 species
AAGUAACAGAAAACUUCUCUACGGUUGCUUAGCUACAUAGAGAUUUGUUUAAUUCUCAACAUAAUGAAGAAUCCAGAGUUGGUUGAAUCCAUGGAUGCAGAACCCAAGGAUAUGACGGGCCAACUGUACAAGCUAUUCUCUAUGGUCAUGUUCUAGGUUCUCUCUCUGUGAAGUCUUACCAUCCAGCAGCAAUUGGCUUCUCUGGAACUACACUACUUUGUUCCCUGUGGAAUCUCUUUUAUUGGAAUGCCCUUUUGUGGUGUACCCCCCUCCCUUUGUUUUAAAAGUUGGAUAGGAAGCAUCUGGAUAAAGUUCAUCUUGUCUGUGUGUGUAAAUGCCUUUGUGUCUCUAAAGAUUUUCUUCCGAGACACCCAUUAGCAUAAUUUCUCUUAGUCCCUGUAGCCAUGAAAAACUAUUGUCAUUCGUCUUAUAGAAAGUACCAGUCUCAUAUCAUAUUGUGAUUUGAGAGCUGAACAUUUCAGAGGCGAACUCGGUGUUCUUCAGGCUUUGCUUAGAGUAUUAGAUGUUGAUUUUUGCUAACCUUUUCCCUGUCUGCAUAGCAUAGUGGCUAAGAACAUGGACUCUAGAGCCAGGUGGCUGGAGUCAAACCCAAGCUUUGUUACUCACCAGCUCCAUGCUCUUGGGAAAGGCGCUUCACUUGGAGGGUUGCUUUGGUACAUAUUAUUGUGUGGGGGCUUCUAUUUAAUAGGCCUUUUGUGCACUCAAUAGAGUAAGAACUAUCUGACUUCUCUCCAGAUGGCUGAGCCAGUUCAUGUUCAAGUCAGCAACAAAUGUGGGUGCUGAAAUCCACCCAUCCCUGGAAAUAUUUGGCAUUAUUCAUCUUCGUAAGUUGUCCUAAUUAAAAAUUGUCAUAUAACAGGUCCCGGUGUGUGAUGUUCCCCUUCCUGUGUCCAUGUGUUCUCAUUGUUUAAUUCCCACCUCUGAGUGAGAACAUGCGG